UUGAACGCUGGCGGCAGGCCUAACACAUGCAAGUCGAGCGGCAGCGCGGGGCAACCUGGCGGCGAGCGGCGAACGGGUGAGUAACGCGUAGGAAUCUACCCAGUAGCGGGGGAUAGCCCGGGGAAACUCGGAUUAAUACCGCAUACGCCCUAAGGGGGAAAGCAGGGGAUCUUCGGACCUUGCACUAUUGGAAGAGCCUGCGUUGGAUUAGCUAGUUGGUAGGGUAAAGGCCUACCAAGGCGACGAUCCAUAACUGGUCUGAGAGGAUGAUCAGUCACACCGGAACUGAGACACGGUCCGGACUCCUACGGGAGGCAGCAGUGGGGAAUAUUGGACAGUGGGGGCAACCCUGAUCCAGCCAUGCCGCGUGUGUGAAGAAGGCCUUCGGGUUGUAAAGCACUUUAAGUGGGGAGAAAGGCUCCAAAGUUAAUACCUUUGGGGAUUGAUGCUACCCACAGAAUAAGCACCGGCUAACUCUGUGCCAGCAGCCGCGGUAA
rnacentral:rRNA from 1 species